GGGCGAGUGGUUUAGUGGUAUAAUUCCUCUUUAGCACUAUCAGAUCUACUUGAUCCGAUUAGAAACUAGAGGCGGUCCGGGGUUCGAUUCCCCGCUUGUCCA
rnacentral:tRNA from 1 species